rnacentral:rRNA from 1 species
UACAGAGGGUGCAAGCGUUAAUCGGAUUUACUGGGCGUAAAGGGCGCGUAGGUGGUUGCGUAAGUGAGUUGUGAAAUCCCCGGGCUUAACCUGGGAACUGCAACUUAUACUGCGUAGCUGGAGUGCAAUAGAGGGUAGUGGAAUUUCCGGUGUAGCGGUGAAAUGCGUAGAUAUCGGAAGGAACACCAGUGGCGAAAGCGGCUUCCUGGUCCAGCACCGACGUUCAGGCACGAAAGCGUGGGGAGCAAACAGG